UUGCACGUAACAGAGGAAACCAGACUAACAUGACGGAGGAGCAUCUCUAACAAGAUCCUCGCCUAAAAAGUAAUCAAUCGAGCGUUUAAACAGAGCAUUUAAGUAAAACGAGCAAAACCCCAUUUCGACAGAAUAAACGAUAACAAGUCGAAACUCGCAAAAAUGAAAGGAGACGACGAUGAAACUUAUACUAAAAUCACACAAUCAACUUAACAAGCAACGAAAGAAUUCUCAAUUAACGCAGAACCAAGUAUGGAAGCAAGCAAAAAGAUAAAAAAAAAGAAAGAAAGAAGAAAACAAAGAACUAGAGAAGGAAAGAAAAAUGGAAAGAAUGAUAGAAUUAAUUCAGAAUGAUUUAAGUUAACCACCAA
rnacentral:lncRNA from 1 species